rnacentral:lncRNA from 1 species
CGACAAGGUUGAGGGGGAGAAUGUUGGGUCAACCUUGGUCUUCAAAGGCUGCAUGUCGGCAAUAUGCAUGCACACAUGCAUCGGCAGCAGAAGAAUAUACUUAGCUAGGAAGUAUUGGGCUGGUCAGUGGUAGAAACGUGGCUUACUAGUGAACCUAGGAUGUGACGUAAGUGCAGGGGAGAUCUUGUAGGAGAUCUUCACUCUGGUGGCAAAGCACGACGAGGGCGUACAGGCUACACAAAGCCUGAGAAGGCGGAAAUACCGACGAAAGCACUUGGUCGUGUCCAUUCUUCAGGAACUUACAGGACAAGGUCGGAANNNNNNNNNNACUGGGGGAGAACUUGUAGGAGAUCUUCACUCUGGUGGCAAAGCAUGACCAGGGCGCGCAGGCUACACAAAGCCUGAGAAGGCGGACAUACCGACAAAGGCACUUGGUCGUGUCCAUUCUUCAGGAACUUACAGGACAUGGUCGGAACCAUCGACAUUAAACUCUUUCGACAAGGUUGAGGGGGAGAAUGUUGGGUCAACCUUGGUCUUCAAUGGCUGCAUGUCGGCAAUAUGCAUGCACACAUGCAUCGGCCGCAGAAGCAUAUACUUAGCUGGGAAGUAUUGGGCUGGUCAGUGGUAGAAACGUGGCUUACUAGUGAACCUAGGAUGUGACGUAAGUGCUGGGGGAGAACUUGUAGGAGAUCUUCACUCUGGUGGCAAAGCACGACCAGGGCGUACAGGCUACACAAAGCCCGAGAGAGCGGAAAUACCGAUGAAGGCACUUGGUCGUGUCCAUUCUUCAGGAACUUACAGGACAAGGUCGGAAUCAUCGACAUCAAACUCUUUCGACAAGGUUGAGGGGGAGAAUGUUGGGUCAACCUUGGUCUUCAAAGGUUGCAUGUCGGCAAUAUGCAUGCACACAUGCAUCGGCUGUAGAAGCAUAUACUUAGCUAGGAGUAUUGGGC